UAGUGUUAUUUGGUUUCAGACUUUGCAUAAUGGAAUCAAAAAAAUUUUUUUUGGUUACAUUUUUAGAUGAAGAUGAUGCUCCUGGCAUAGUUUCAUCAAAGUGGUUAAGAUACCAACACUUGUUAUUACCCUAAUGUAUGCACUGAAGAAAUCAAAAACAAACUUGAAGAAGAUGCCUGCACCUGAAGCAACAUGGUCACAAUAUCAAAUAAAAAUACUUAAAAGUUAUGAAACUUAUGGCGAAGCACGAUUACAUUUAAAAAAAGGGGAAGAAACCUGAAAUUUGGACUCAGAC